ensembl:lncRNA
GUUUAUAUUUCGCAAAUUUUACUUUUUCUUUGAAUUCUGAGCUUUAUAUCUUGCGAUUCUUUUUUUCCUUUGAAUUUAGUUUAUAUUUCACAAUUCUGAUUUUCUUUAAAUCUUGAUUUUAUUUUUCACAAUUCUAAAUUUUUCUUUGAAUUCUGAGUUUAUAUCUCGUAAUUCUGACUUUUUUAUCAGAAUUACAAGGUCCAGUUUUUUUUUUUUGUUUGUUUCUGCCAUGAAAUAAAAACAAAUAAAAAGGUAAUUUUCGACUUUUUUUAUCUCACGGCUCAGACCUUUUUUUUCAAAAUUUAUAUCUUUCAAUUCAGAUUUUUUUUUUCACACAUGCAAGAAAAAAGUCAGAAUUAUGAGAUGAAAUCGUAGAAUUGCGAGAAAAAUAGUUUGAAUUGCGAUAUAAACUUCAGAAUUGCGAGACAAAAAGGUCAGAAUUAUGAGAUACAAAUUUAGAAUUGCAAAAAAGGACUGAAUUGUGAUGAUAACUUGAAAUUGCAAAGUAGUCUGAAUUGUUAAGAUAAAAAGUCGCAAAUACCCUUUUUAUUUAUUUUUUUACCCUGUAGUGGAAACAAGCAUCUGUAGGUUUCAGAUGGAAAGUCGGGGAUGAGAAUCUCAAAGCUUCACGCGACGGUCUGUGGGUUUCCGUACGAUCCGGCUAGAAAGAUGAGCACCUGAGGGGUCUUUAGUACACGAUUAGAGCCGCAGCACAAGCUAGAAAGCGACGCUGUCUGUGAUUGAAGCGUGUCGCGAAGCGUCAGCCAAUCACGGCCUCGCAUUCAGAGCGUUUAGAAUUCAGGCAUAUAUAAUAAUAUAACCGAUGAUUCAGCAGUCAAACUUUUAUGUAGGAGAAACGAGAUUAUAAAGAUGGGCUAUUUAAAGAAAAGCACAUUAGAUUUACAAAUAAUGCAUUCCAGUUACGAUUUCUUUAAAUAGAAUUAAAAUAAAAAAUAAACGAGAAAGAAAACAAUCUAGCUUUCCGAGACAUGCUAUGUUAAACGAAAGCAAUACUUUAAAGACAAUCUUUACCAUGUUUACAUUACCGAGGGGUAGAAUAGGUUUAAGAAAAAAACACCUGGAGAAGUUCUCUCUGAUCUCAAGUCAUAUAAACUGUACUCUGAUGCCUUAACAAACAUUGCAGUACCACUACGUUACGGCAGGGCGGGGGAACGUGGGGCUUCGACUGUGUUUUCAGACAUAUUCGUGUGCAGGAGACCGCGUUUAGCUUUUUAUACACGAUGGCGAACACUGUGGGAGCGAGCGACUGUCCGCUUCAGCCCUCGUGAAGAUCCCUUGACCCGCGUCCAUGUGUCCUCCUGUCGCCCGUCGACUUUCUUGCGCUCUCCAAAGAGAUUCGACCCCGUCACGUGCACCGACUCCCUCAAAAACGCUCCCUCUGCCCCCACAGGUCACGGCGGGGCUGGAAACGCACCCUGAAGCCACUUAAAUGAGUUUGAUGUUGAGAAAUCUGUGGCGUGGCGUUCUUAUUCAUGAGUUUCAUUUCAUUUCGAGCCCGGGAUUCGUUCCCACACGGCACGAGUAACGUUACAUGCCGCCUGUGCGUUUGCGUGUGCGCGCGUGUCUAAUUUAUUAUUUAUCCUUCUAUUAUUAUUAGUAUUUGCUAAUGUGUAUUGUGCGCUGUUAAUGCAGAGAUAUGACGUGCUGCAUGGUUCAUUUCCGCUAACGAUCUCUAUUUAGUAACGAUCUGUUAUUUCUAAACGUGGUCCUUUUAGAAGUAAAACCAUGGCUUUUCAUUUAUCUGAUGUUUUUCGCACCAUGACGUGUUUCAAAAGGAGAAAAAAAAAGUUUAAAAAGAAAUUGUUGAUACCAAACAAUUAUAAAUAGAUGUUUUUUGGUAAUAUUUUCUGUGGCGAGCAAUUUUCUUUAAUAUUUUCUAGUGACACCUCAUUUGUAAAUCAUUUUUCUAAGAUGUUCCUUUGUCCUCUGGCAUUUGAUAAUGGUUUUUUUGCCAGGUUAGCCUGAAAGGCUGCAGUUUAUUGAUAUUUUUAAAAUAACUUUGUACAAACGUGUUAUGUUAAUGGGUGAAAAACAAAAAAGAGGAAAAAGAAAAAAACUUUGCCUGCAUAACACUUGAAAUUAAAGUGAGUAAUUCUGUCUUAAAUAUUCCAUGUCCAUGUCUAAUUCUUUAUUUCAGUCUGUGCUUUUAUUUACAGCAUGAGGUUUAGUUAAACAUUUUUUACUGUUUUGUCAACAUUAGUCACCUACUUUAGUUAAUGAUUACAAAUACAUCUUAAAGAAGUAGUUCACCCAAAAAUGUUGAGAAUUUACUCCCCCUCAGGUCAUCCAAGAUGUAGAUGAGUUUGUUUCUUCAUCAGAUUUAGAGAAAUGUAGCAUUGCAUCACUUGCUCACCAUUGGAUGCUCUGCAGUGAAUGGGUGCCGUCAGAAUGAGAGUCCAAACAGCUGAUAAACAUCACAAUAAUCCACACCACUCCUGUCCAGCUGUUAACGUAUUGAAAAGAAAAAAGCUAAGAAAUAAAUCCAUCAAGACGUUUUAACAUAAAAUGCUAAAGUACAUUUUGCUAAUGUUCCUAUUAAGUUAUAAAAACGUGUUUAAAAGUGUUUUUUUUUUUUGUUUUUUUUUAAUGUUACGGGAAAAUUCCAUUUUAUCGUUUUGCAAACAACUUUUUGGAAUUUUUGAAAAUUUGAAUUUGAAGAUUAGGGUAAAUUGAACUUAUUUUGUCUUCUGGGAAACAUGCAAGUAUCUUCUGUAGCUUCUGAAGGGCAGUACUGAAGAAAAAUAUUAUAUUUAGCCAAAAUAAUCUUCACUGUGUUCAAAAGUGUAUGUGAACUUUUCAACAGGGUCAUUUUUAUAAAUUCAACUUUUAUUUUAUCUUGCGGACUAUAUGUAAACGUCUUCUGUGUGAAAUAUCUUCAGGUCAGUAUGAAAUAAAAAAUGACAUGUAUUUUGUAUGAUCCCUCUUAUUUCGGUAAAAUAACAUUUAGCAGAUUCUGCAAGCUGU